AUUGAACGCUGGCGGCAGGCUUAACACGUGCAAGUCGAGCGGAGCGAGGGUGCUUGCACCUUAGCUUAGCGGCGGACGGGUGAGUAAUGCUUAGGAAUCUGCCUAUUAGUGGGGGACAACAUUCCGAAAGGAAUGCUAAUACCGCGUACGCCCUACGAGGGAAAGCAGGGGAUCUUCGGACCUCGCGCUAAUAGAUGAGCCUAAGUCGGAUUAGCUAGUUGGUGGGGUAAAGGCCUACCAAGGCGACGAUCUGUAGCGGGUCUGAGAGGAUGAUCCGCCACACUGGGACUGAGACACGGCCCAGACUCCUACGGGAGGCAGCAGUGGGGAAUAUUGGACAAUGGGCGGAAGCCUGAUCCAGCCAUGCCGCGUGUGUGAAGAAGGCCUUUUGGUUGUAAAGCACUUUAAGCGAGGAGGAGGCUACUUAGAUUAAUACUCUGGGAUAGUGGACGUUACUCGCAGAAUAAGCACCGGCUAACUCUGUGCCAGCCGCCGCCGUAACAC
rnacentral:rRNA from 1 species